rnacentral:rRNA from 1 species
UACAGAGGGUGCAAGCGUUAAUCGGAGUUAUUGGGCGUAAAGAGCUCGUAGGCGGUUUGUCGCGUCUGCUGUGAAAAUCCAGGGCUUAACCCUGGACCUGCAGUGGGUACGGGCAGACUGGAGUGCGGUAGGGGAGAUCGGAAUUCCUGGUGUAGCGGUGAAAUGCGCAGAUAUCAGGAGGAACACCGGUGGCGAAGGCGGAUCUCUGGGCCGUAACUGACGCUGAGGAGCGAAAGCAUGGGGAGCGAACAGG